rnacentral:rRNA from 1 species
AACGAACGCUGGCGGCAGGCCUAACACAUGCAAGUCGAACGCCCUAGCAAUAGGGAGUGGCAGACGGGUGAGUAACACGUGGGAACCUUCCCUAUAGUACGGAAUAGCCCAGGGAAACUUGGAGUAAUACCGUAUAAGCCCGAGAGGGGAAAGAUUUAUCGCUAUUGGAUGGGCCCGCGUCGGAUUAGCUAGUUGGUGAGGUAAUGGCUCACCAAGGCGACGAUCCGUAGCUGGUUUGAGAGAACGACCAGCCACACUGGGACUGAGACACGGCCCAGACUCCUACGGGAGGCAGCAGUGGGGAAUAUUGGACAAUGGGCGAAAGCCUGAUCCAGCCAUGCCGCGUGAGUGAUGAAGGCCUUAGGGUUGUAAAGCUCUUUUGUCGGGGACGAUAAUGACGGUACCCGAAGAAUAAGCUCCGGCUAACUUCAUGCCAGCCGCCGAAGUAACAC